UGAUUAGCAACUGGAUCAAAUACGCACA
rnacentral:piRNA from 1 species